GAUCUUAGGAACCCUCUUAGCAUUUCUGGAAGUUUAGUAAAAGAGUAAAAAUUUGGCUAGUGGUAGUAUUUUCUCCAACAAAAUCUUAGCUUCGAUCGUUGGGAAAUAGUUAACUUGUUGUCACCACAGAAGAUUCACACAACAUCACAGAUGUUGCAGAUUUCUUAAGUUAAAGAACAACCCGUAUUGCGCAAACUUGUAUGCGCAAUUAGUAUACCCUUCACCGAACAGCCUAUCAUUAUCUCCGAUCUCAUCUUCAUUGCGCACCGAAACGACUUUCACUCGACCAAGCGCUUUGGACGGUGGCGGUGGCGAUGGUGGUGGUGCGCUAUGUGAUUCGUCUUCAAAAAAACAUCACCGAUAAUGCUCUGGCGUGCCCGUUUGACCACGUUUUGGCGUUCUGCGUCAGUGAUCGCACAGAGACAAGAACGGUAGUUAGUGACUACAAUUCCUAAAAGCAACGAAAAUUCGAAUCAAUGCAAAAACAACAGCCGAUUGUGUGGUGUAUGUGUGUAAUGGGGGAAAAAAAUGAGGCACGUCUGCUAGAGCGAAGAAGAUGAAAAACAAAAGCAUAAAACUCCAAAUUUGACCCCCCCUCAUGUUGUGGGCACGUUGUCUGGAGUGGUGAUAAGACCGGUGGCAAUUAUUGUGUCGGAUGACGAACCGACUGAUGUCUUUGGUAGUGGUGCGCGAUUGCGUCCCAAAUGAGCUCGCGCAGUACAGACGUGAGGCAGAUAGGGAUGGAACAGACCAACCACCGACUGGCAACAGAGCCUUACGCGAGCGCGCGCGCGCACCUACAAGAUUGCGAUGUGAAACAUUUCAAGCAAAAAAUAAACAAAAUAAAAAGAUAAAGAUUAACGUAUGAGAAAGAUUAACACAGAACUACGCACAAGCGCGCGCGCGCGCUCUCGCUUAGCGGUAGAGCGAACAUCGAACAAAUGAAUCGAACGACCAGAGAACUUUGUAUUGCAUGUAGUGCGCGACAUUAAUUAUGAAAACGAAAGAUUCCAUUCCCAACUUCUCUUGCAUCUUGCUUUGCGAAACGGUUUGCAAGCUUGAGAGGAAACGAGAAAAUAAGGGGUUCUCACUAACAUUAACACUAUUAUCCUUUGCUCUUUUUUUUCUGUAUCGAAUCGUCGGCGAAUCAUUUGCAAAAGAGGAUCGCCUAGAUCGCGGUGGGCAAUCCUGUGAUCACUAUGUAAUAAACGCCUAGCCAGGCCGCAGGAAUAACAUUUUGGUUCUGUUUUGUGUGUAUGUGUUGUUUAUUCGGUAAAAAACAAUAAAAUAAAAUAAAGCCCUGUACUUAUAUGAACAUA